rnacentral:rRNA from 1 species
GGGGAAUCUUGGACAAUGGGGGCAACCCUGAUCCAGCCAUGCCGCGUGAGUGAUGAAGGCCUUAGGGUCGUAAAGCUCUUUCGCCUGUGAUGAUAAUGACAGUAGCAGGUAAAGAAACCCCGGCUAACUCCGUGCCAGCAGCCGCGGUAAUACGGAGGGGGUUAGCGUUGUUCGGAAUUACUGGGCGUAAAGCGCGCGUAGGCGGAUUAGUCAGUUAGAGGUGAAAUCCCAGGGCUCAACCCUGGAACUGCCUUUAAUACUGCUAGUCUUGAGUUCGAGAGAGGUGAGUGGAAUUCCGAGUGUAGAGGUGAAAUUCGUAGAUAUUCGGAGGAACACCAGUGGCGAAGGCGGCUCACUGGCUCGAUACUGACGCUGAGGUGCGAAAGUGUGGGGAGCAAACAGG